UGAGAGCAUGAGUGAUAAGAUGCUCUCUCCCCUUGCUCUCUUUCUGAAGAUGACAAACUCCAUCUUUUUUCUAAAGUCUUACUAAAGUGGUGGGAAUCCAAAUUACACAGCACCAAAAUAUGUUGUCAGCGGCAAAUCCAUACGGGUCUGCAACAACAAUUCUUGUGUCCUCAGGAGAGAAUCUGACUAAGGGGCAUAAGGCAGAAGAGACCAAGACAAGUUUUAGAGCAGGAGUGAAG
rnacentral:lncRNA from 1 species